rnacentral:misc_RNA from 1 species
UGCGGCUGGAUCCCCUCCUUUCUAAGGAUAUAUUCGGAACAUCUUCUACGAAGAUGAGGGAAUAACGUGACAUAUUGUAUUCAGUUUUGAAUGUUUAUUAACAUUCAUUUGUACAUUGAAAACUAGAUAAGUAAGUAAGAUUUUACCAAGCAAAACCGAGUGAAUAGAGUUUUAAAUAAGCUUGAAUUCAUAAAUAAUCGCUAGUGUUCGAAAGAACACUCACAAGAUUAAUAACUAGUUUUAGCUAUUUAUUUUGAAUAACAAUUCAAAAUAUGGUGGAAACAUAGAUUAAGUUAUUAAGGGCGCACGGUGGAUGCCUUGGCACUAGAAGCCGAUGAAGGACGUUACUAACGACGAUAUGCUUUGGGUAGCUGUAAGUAAGCGUUGAUCCAGAGAUUUCCGAAUGGGGAAACCCGG